GGAAACCUUGUUACGACUUUUACUUCCUCUAAAUGACCAAGUUUGACUAGCUUCCCAUCUGGUGGUGGUCGUUGCCGACCUCCACUAAACGGUCCGGAAGCCUCACUAAGCCAUUCAAUCGGUAGUAGCGAC
rnacentral:rRNA from 1 species